rnacentral:lncRNA from 1 species
AUUUAAAUUUUGAUUUAAAUUCAGGAAGUUCUGGAAAAAGAUAGAUUCUUAUUUAUAUGUAUAUAUGUAUCUCUGUUUAAGCAAUUCUGAAAAAACAGAUGAUGAUAGCUGGCUUUCUUCAGAAGAGGAGGAACUAGGCUCCAGCCCCAAGAAACCAGAAAAACCAAGUUUGGCUCAGCUAAUGAAAGUUCCAUGGGACUUCUUGAAAAAAUUAGAUGAGAAAGAUUGCACUAUCCGAACAGAAUCCUUAGGCAGUUCACAGCAAAAUAAAGCAAAUUAUGAUUUUGAAGAAUGCAAUGAAUCCCUUCCUAAGCCUUUGUUCCAAGUCAAAACCUUCCCUCAUUCUGUCCAUUCCUCACCUGGCUCCUUUUCCAAAUGUUCCCAGAGAACAUUGCAUUCUAAACAGGAGAAACCUUCAAAAGAUGAAGAAGGUGGUGAACAGGAUUUUGCCAAUAAAAAAAGUAUUGUUUGUAGGCAGUCUUCGAAUAUCUCACCAAAAGGUAAAAAGUUUUAGUUAUAUUAACUAGUCCGCAUCACGUGCAAAUUAGCAAUAAUAAAGUCACUUC